rnacentral:lncRNA from 10 species
CGAGGCCUCUCCAGCCAUAUACAAAAUACCAACCCUGCUUGUUCUUGUGAACCAACCAGAAAUCUCCAGCUGCAGCUCAGAAAGAACAAAAUGGAUGGAUAAUGCCAUCAAACUUCAAACGGUCCUGCAAUCUGAGCCUCAGAGGAUGGUCCCUUCUGCUGGGAACACUUAGGCCUCUGAGGGAGAUCUGACUGCCGUUUCCCCAAAACAGUGCCCUCCAUCAGCACGAAGCAGUUAAGAUCAGUCUUCAUCCUUAUUUUUAUUGAUGGCAGUUAGAUGUACUUAUUUAGAGGGGGGAAUGAGACAGCCAGGUGGGAGUGGGUCCCUGGCAAAACUCCAACCAGUCUGCAUACUAGGAAUGUGCACUGGGGUGGAGCCACACAGGUUCACGCCAUUUGCAGCAGGGAGGAGCCUGGCCUCUCCUCUUCCUGUGUGUAACCUCGGAUUCAAACUGUGAGGUGGGAAGCACAUCAGUGGAACUCUGGCCUUGCAGAGAGUCCCUGAUCCCCCUUUUGUUCCUUUUCACCUAAUAAAACCCUGCUUUACUCACCCUUCGAACUGUCUGCAAACCUAAACUUUUGUGGCCAUGGGACAAGGACCUUGUCUUUAGCUGAACUAAGGAAAAGUCCUGCAGAACUAAGAGACAUAUUCAGAACAUUUCGUGAAGCAGCAAAAGAAUGCAGAUUCUUCUGAAACGCACCCAUAACAUUCUCCAGGAUAGAUUAUACAUUGCGUCUCCAAAUAAGCCUUAACAAAUUUAAGAAGACUGAAAUAUUAUCAAGCAUAUUUUCCAACAGCAAUGGCAUUAAGCUAGAAAUCAGUAACAGGAAGAAAAUUUAAAAAUUUCACACAUAUGUGGAAAUGAAGCAACACACUCUUGAACAACCAAUCAGUCAAAGAAGGAAGAAAAAGAGAAAUCAAAAAACAUCUUCAGAUAAAUGAAAAUUGAAACAUGAGAUACCAAAACAUUCAGAAUGCAGUGAAAGCAAUUAUAAGAGCAACAUUAACAAUGAUGGACACUUAAAUGGAGAAGUAAAAUCUCAAAAAAACAACAACUUAACUUUACACUUUAAGAAAGUAGAAAGAGAACAAAUUUCAGCACAAAGUAAGCAGAAGGAAGGGAAUAAUAAAGAUCAUAAAUAAAUAAAUAAAAAUUAGAAAUAAAUAAAAUAGACAUGAGAAAUACAAUAGAAAAGAUUAAUAAAGCUAAGAGUUAGUUUUAAAAAAUAUAAACAAAAUUUAAAAAAUUUUAGCUAGACAAGGAAAAUAGAAAGAAGACUCAAAUAAAUAAAACUAUAAAUGAAAAAGGAGUCAUUAUAGCUGAUAUGACAGAAAUACAAAGAAUCAUAGACAACUACUAUGAACAGUUAUAUGCCAACAAAUUAAGUAACCUGGAAUAAAUGGUUAAAUUUCUUGAAACAUACACCCUGCCAAGACUGAAUCAUAAAGAAAUUGAAAAACUGAAAAGACCAAUAAUGAAUAACCGCAAAAAGCCUAUGACUUGAUGGCUUUAUUACUGGAUUCUACCAAACAAUUAAGGAAGAAUUAAUGCUAAUACUUCUCAAACUCUUGAAAAGUAGAAGAGGGGGAGCUCUUUUUAUUUCAAAGCAUAAGGCAAGCAUUACCUUCGUAUCAAAGCUAGACAAAGACAUUACAAGAAAUGAAAAUUCUAGACCAAUAUCCCUGAUGAACAUAGAUUAAAAAAAUCUACCACAACAUACUAGCAAACAGAAUUCUACAGCACAUUAAAGGGAUCAUUCACUGUACUCAAGUGGGAUUUAUCCCUAAGAUGCAGGGAUGGUUGAUCAUACGCAAAUUAGUAAUUAUGAUAUAUCACUUUAACAGAAUGAAGGAUAAAAAUCAUGACUACAUGAGUAGACGCGGAAAAAGAAUUUGACAAAAUUCAACAUCAUUUUAUGAUAAAAACUUUCAACACUUUUGAUAUAGAAAAAAAUGUUACUGAACACAACAAAGGCCACAGACGACAACCCCACAGAUAACAUCAUACUCAAUGAUGAAAAUUUGAAAACUUCUCCUCUAAAAUCAGGAGGAAGACAAGGAUAGCCAUUCUUGCCAUUUCUGUUGAAUAUAGUAUUGGAAGUCCUAGCCAGAGGAUUUAGGCAAGCAAAAGAAAUAAAAUGCAUACAAAUUGGAAAGAAAUAUGUACAGUUGUCUCUGUUUGAAGAUGAGGUGAUCUUACACGUAGAAAACCCUAAAGAUGCCAUUAAAACACUGUUAGAACUAAUAAAUUCAGUAAAGGUGUAGGAUACAAAAUUAAGAUAAAAAAUCAAUGAUGUUUGUGUACACUAUUAGGGUUCUCUAGAGGGACAGGACUAACAGGAUAGAUGUAUAUAAAAAGGGGAGUUUAUUAAAGAGUAUUGACUCACAUGGUCACAAGGUAAGGUCCCACAUUGACCAUCUGCAAGCUGAGGAGCAAGAUGGCCAGUACAAGUCCCAAAGCUGAAGAGCUUGGAGUCAAAUGUUUGAGGGCAAGAAGCAUCCAGCAUGAGAGAAAGAUGUAGGCUGGGAGACUAAGCCAGUCUAGUCUUUUCAUGCUCUUCUGCCUGCUUUUAUUCUGGCUCUGCUGGCAGCUCAUUAGACUGUGCACCUGCAGAUUAAGGGUGGGUCUGUCUUUCUCAUUCCACUUACUCAAAUGUUAAUCUCCUUUGGCAACACCUUCACAGACACACCCAGGAACAACACUUUGCAUUUUUAAUGCAACCAAGUUGACACUCAAUAUUAAUCAUCACAAGUCCAACCCUUGUCAACUUGAAUCCAUACACAUCUCUUGAAAUCAUAUAUAGUAUUCAAAUGAAGACAAUAAUAAGGUCAUAAUUACACCUAACAUAAAACAACUAUCCUUUGUACAACCAGAAAUGCAUAAAUUCCCAACCCAAAUACUAUUACAUAAAGUUAACCACACUUAAAUGCUGAUAUGAAGUCAAUAAAUCUUAUAUGCAUGAUAAAAAAGGAAAUAAAAUGAAGACAUUUUCUUAGUACAGGUGUAUACAUGGACAAACAUGUUCUUAACAAAAAGGAGGAAAUACUCAUGACAAUUACAGUCCGCGUUUCUGCACCUGGUCAUGUGGUCAUAGCUGGAAUUGAUGACUACCUUCUUCUACCACUCAUUCUGUACUCCCUUUGCAUUCAGCAAACACCUCAGCAGGUUGUGCUUUUUUAUCUAGUGGAGUUACCCAAACCUUCAUUAUUAAAGGGUCUGGUCCAUUUGUAGUCCUGCCUGGAUUAGACUGUUGUAGUUUCCCAUUGAUCUUAACCACAGGGCAUGGUAAUACUAAGAGACACUCUAAGGGAUCUCAUGUAUCCCACUCAUACUCAUCCUUACCUCCAUUGUGGAGUAGUAGACUGAUUUCCUCUUGAUAGUCUGGGCCAGUCACCCCAGCCAACACUGUAACUCCCUUCUUAGCCUGUUAACUUAAAGGUAGGAGGAGCCAAAGGUGGCCAGGGGGCAGUCUUAACUUCCUGUUUACUGGAAUCAUUAUGUCUCCUGGUGGCAGUGUUCUUCCCUCUGGAACUAAGACCUCCAGGCCUGCAGAAUGAAAUGUCGUGGGAAUAGGAAGCAAAAAUUUUGCUAGUGGGUCACUAGGGAUAAUGGUGAGUGGUGCCACUUCCACUUCCACCCCUUGAUUCCUAAACCCAUGAAUCCUGGCUAUGCGAGAAACAGUACCAUAUAUUGAAUGCUGAUUCAGAGCAUACACAGCCUUCAGGAGAGCUUUGCCCCAGUCCUGCAAAGUAUUGUCACCUAGUUGUCAUUGUAAUUGUGACUUCAAAAGUCCAUUCCACCCUUCUACCAACCCAGCUGCUUCAGGAUAAUGGGAAACAUAACAAUGAACUAUCUGAAAAAUAAAUUAAGAAAACAAUCCCAUUUACAAUAGUGUCAAAAUAAAGUAGGAAUAAAUUUAACCAAGGAGUUGAAAGAUCUAUGCAGUGAAAACUAUAAAAUAUUGAUGAAAGAAAUUACAAAACAUGCAAAUAAAUGGAAAAAUAUCCCAUAUUUAUAAAUUGAUAUUGUUAACAUAUUCAUACUAUUCAAAGCAAUUUACAGAUUAAAUGCAAUCACUAUCAUAAUUCCAAUGAGAUAUUUUACAAAACUAGAAAAAAAUCCUAAAAUUCAUAUGGAACCACAAAAUACCCCAAAUAGUGAAAGUAAUUUUAAGCAAAAAGAACAAAGCUGGAGGCAUCACACUCUCUGAUCUCAAAAUCUACUGUAAGGCUAUAUUAUGGUAAUCGAAACAGCAUGGUGCCAGCAUAAAAGCAGACAUUCAAACCAAUGGAAAAAUAGAAACCUGGGCAACACAGAGAGAUCCUAGCUCUAUGAAAAAGAAAAAAAAAAAAAACAAACGCUGGGCAUGGUGGUACAUGCCUGUGGUUCCAGCUACUCUGGAGGCUGAGGUGGGAGGAUGAUUUAAGUGCAGGAGUUUGAGCCUAUCGUGACCGGUGAUUGCACCACUUCAUUCCAGCCUGGGUGACAGAGAAAGACCAGGUUUCCAGAAAAAAAAGAAAGAAAGGAAAAGAAAGGAAAGGAUAGGAAAGGAAAGGAAAAAAGAAAAGAAAAGAGAGAUUCCAGAAAUAAAUUAAAAUAAAUUUUAUGGUCAACUGAUCUUUUAAAAAGGUGCUAAUAAUAUAAAAUGGGGAAAGGACCGUCAUAAAUGCUGCUAGGAAAAUUAGAUACCCACAUGUAGCAGAAUUAAAUUGGAUCCUUGUCUCACACCAUAUAUAAAAAUCAUCUCAAAAUGGAUUAAAGACUUAAACACAAGGCCUUAAAAUGUAAAACUACCAGAGAAAAGCAUCUAGUCAAACUUUUUGACACUGGUCUUAGCAAAUAUUUUUCUUCAGAUAUGGCACCGAAAGCAUAGGCAACCGAAGCAAAAAUAGAUGUAUGAAAUUGCAUCAAACUAAAAAGUUUCUGCACAGCAAACCAUAACAGAGUGAAUAUAUAAGCUACAGAAUAGGAGAAAAUAUUUUCAAACUAUACAUCUGAUAAAGGAUUGAUAUUCAAAAUAUGUAGUGAACUCAAUGAACUUUAUGGCAAGAAAACAGACAGCCUGAUUUUAAAAUGGGUAAAGGACAUGAAUAAACAUGUUUCAAAAGAAGACAUAAAAAAUGGUCAACAGAUAUAUUAAAAAAUGCUCAACAUUGCUGAUCAUAGGAGAAAUGAAAAUUAAAACCUGAUAUCAGCUUACACCUAUUAGAAUAGCUGUCAAUGAAAAGACAAAACAUAACAAGUGCUAGUGAGAAUCUGUAGAAAUUAGAAUCCUUGCACACUGUUGGUUGGAAUGUAGAUUAGUAUAGCCAUUGUGGAAAACAGUAUGGAAGUUCCUCAAGAAAUUAAAAAUAGAACUACCAUAUGAUCCAGCAAUCCUGCUUCUUGGUAUAUAUCCAAAGAAAAUGAAGUCACUAUGUCAAAGAGAUAUCUUCAUUGCAACAUUAUUCAUAACGGCCAAGAUAUGGAAUCAACCUAAGUGUUCACUGAUGGUGAAUGAAUUAAAAAAAAUUGUGGCCAGGCGCGGUGGCUCACGCCUGUAAUUCCAGCACUUUGGGAGGCCAAGGCGGGCAGAUCAUGAGGUCAGGAGUUCGAGACCAGCCUGCUCAACAUUGUGAAAUCCCGUCUCUACCAAAAAAUACAAAAAUAAGCCAGGCAUGGUGGCGGACGCCAGUAAUCCCAGCUACUGGGGAGGCUGAGGCACAAGAAUUGCGUGAACCCAGGAGAUGGAGGUUGCAGUGAACCGAGAUUACACCACUGCACUCCAGCCUGGGUGACAGAGCAAGACUCUGUCUCAAAAUAAAUAAAUAAAUAAAUACAUGUACAUGCAUGUGUAUGUGUAAAAUAGGAUACUAUGCAAUUCUAAAAAAGAGGAUAUCCUGUUAUUUGUGACAGCAUGGAUGAACCUAGAGGACAUUAUGCUUAGUGUAAUAAGCCGGCACAGAAGGACAAAUACUGUAUGAUCUCACUUAUAUGUGGAAUCCAAAAGUGAACUCAUAGAAGCAAAAAGUAGAAUGGUGGUUACUAGGGGCUGUCGUGGGGGGAAUAGGGAGUUAUUGGUUGAAGGGUACAAUAUUUCAGUUAAAUAAGAGGGAUACAUUUUGCAGAGAACUAUCAUAUACUGUAAUGACUACUGUUAAUAAUAAUAUAUUGUGUAUUUGAAAAUUGCUAAGAAUGUAGGUCUUAAAUGUGCUUAUUACAAAAACAUAAUAAGCAUGUGAAAGGGUUGUUAAUUCACUCUAAUCACUUUCCUAUAUAUUAUAUAUAAUAUGUAUAUAUUAUGUACCUAUGUAUAUUAUAUGUAUAUAUUAUAUAUAAUCAAAACAUCAUGUACUCUGUAAGUAUAUGAAUAUUUAUUUUUCAAUUAUACUUCAAUAAAGCUGGAAAAAUAUACUCUUUGCAUAAAAGUUUGCAAACUUUUUUACUCAUCAAUUCUAGUAGUUCUGUGGAGCCCUGGGAUUCUGUGAGGGUAUCUCAAA